CACAUCAGUAGUGGAUAAUACUAUCUUAACAGAUAUAUUUUUCAUUAAAUUUUAUAGAAACCAUAAAGUUCAAAGUACAUUACAUCUCAAGAGCUUAUGGAUGUAUACAUUUUUUUUAUUGAUUUCUCUUUUGAAAUCAACAAUUGAAGAUUUACAUUCGCUAGUUCAGUUGGUUAAUACUAGAUGAAAGAAUUUAUUCUUUAUUUUGUACAUAGUUCAAACAUUUUUUAACCCAUAUAGCUGAGUUGAUCACCACACGGAAGGAUUUAUAUCUUUCCUCAAAAAUAAUACAAGGCCUAAACAACCUUACUUUCCCGACGGUAUCAACUUCGUUUCUGGUUUCUUAGAUCAAAUUGUUUACUUUUUAGCGAGAGAGUCUUUUUCUUUUUUAGAAGAAGGUGUUGCAUGUUAUUCAGAGGAUUCUUAUCAUGAGAAUCUGAGAGUUUGGAUAUCCAUUUUGUGCCCUCUUUCGCGGUAAUACAUUC
rnacentral:snoRNA from 1 species